CCUACGGGUGGCAGCAGUGAGGAAUAUUGGUCAAUGGGCGCGAGCCUGAACCAGCCAAGCCGCGUGAGGGAAGACGGUCCUAUGGAUUGUAAACCUCUUUUGUCGGGGAGCAAAGCGAGUCACGUGUGACCCAUUGAGAGUACCCGACGAACAAGCAUCGGCUAACUCCGUGCCAGCAGCCGGGGUAAGACGGGGGAUGCGAGAGUUAUCCGGAUUUGUUGGGGUAAAGGGGUGCGCGGGGGGGGGUGCAAGUCAGCGGGAAAAUUGCGGGGCUCAACCCCGUACUGCCGUUGAAACUGAAUGCCUGGAGUGCGCGAGAGGUAGGCGGAAUGCGUGGUGUAGCGGUGAAAUGCAUAGAUAUCACGAAGAACUCCGAUGGCGAAGGCAGCAUACCGGAGAGCAACUGACGCUCAUGCACGAAAGCGUGGGUAUCGAACAGGAUUAGAUACCCGUGUAGUC
rnacentral:rRNA from 1 species